CCUACGGGAGGCAGCAGUAGGGAAUAUUGCUCAAUGGGGGAAACCCUGAAGCAGCAACGCCGCGUGGAGGAUGAAGGUCUUCGGAUUGUAAACUCCUUUUAUUAGAGAAGAUAAUGACGGUAUCUAACGAAUAAGCACCGGCUAACUACGUGCCAGCAGCCGCGGUAAUACGGAGGGUGCAAGCGUUACCCGGAAUCACUGGGCGUAAAGAGCGCGUAGGCGGGAUAGCAAGUCAGAUGUGAAAUCCUAUGGCUUAACCAUAGAACUGCAUUUGAAACUGUUAUGCUAGAGUAUGGGAGAGGUAAGUGGAAUUCUUGGUGUAGGGGUAAAAUCCGUAGAGAUCAAGAGGAAUACUCAUUGCGAAGGCGACCUACUAGAACAUAACUGACGCUGAUGCGCGAAAGCGUGGGGAGCAAACAGGAUUAGAUACCCGAGUAGUC
rnacentral:rRNA from 1 species